AUUGAACGCUGGCGGCAGGCCUAACACAUGCAAGUCGAACGAGUGGCGGACGGGUGAGUAAUGUCUGGGAAACUGCCUGAUGGAGGGGGAUAACUACUGGAAACGGUAGCUAAUACCGCAUACCAUCGGAUGUGCCCAUAUGGGAUUAGCUAGUAGGUGGGGUAAUGGCUCACCUAGGGGCCGAUCCCGAGCUGGUCUGAGAGGAUGACCAGCCACACUGUAACGGAGACACGGUCAAGACUCCUACGGGAGGCAGCAGUGGGGAAUAUUGCACAAUGGGCGCAAGCCUGAUGCAGCCAUGCCGCGUGUAUGAAGAAGGCCUUCGGGUUGUAAAGUACUGUCAGCGGGGAGGCGUUACCCGCAGAAGAAGCACCGGCUAACUCCGUGCCAGCAGCCGCGGUAAUUC
rnacentral:rRNA from 1 species